ensembl:snoRNA
GCUCUCCCAGGUCUGCAUGGUUACACCUGGCUUCCCCCCCCACCCCCCACCCCGACUUCCAUAAAGGGGACAGACAGAACAGGUCCACUCAGGAUCUCGGCUGGCCUUGCAGUGACCUCUCUUUCCUUGAGGGGAACAACAGAU